CUUUGAGGUCUCGCUUUUGCAUUCACAUCCUUUGCCGUCAUGUUGCUUUGUUCAAUCCGCUCAGAUGUUUUAUUUUGUUUUUUAUGAGUUGACAUUAAUUUCUGAUCAAGGGACAUAAUUUUUAAAGAUGGCAGAUGGCGGCGUUAACCCUUUCAAAGCUGGUAAGAAGAUCUACAAAACCAGGAUGACGCCACAUUUUGAUAGACUUUUUUAAUGUAGAGAAUAUUUAUUGUAUUAUUGGCUUCACCAAACACAGCCCUCUGCUUGUUCAUGUAUGCCACCAUCAUUUUAAAGGGACACUAUAGUCACCAGAACCACUACAGUUUAAUGUAGUGGUUCUGGUGUCUAUAGCCUGUGCCUGCACGCUUUUCAAUGUAAACGCUGCCUUUUCAGAGAUAAGGCAGUGUUUACAUUGCUGGGUAGUUACACCUCUAGUGGCAGUCACCAAGAAGGCCACUAGAGGUGCUUUCUGGGUCAAUGCUGCACAGACAGUAUACAGCACUGGCGUUCAGAGUCUACACACUCAGGGCAUGGAGGUGCUGAACUCUCCCCAUAGAGAUGCACUGAUUCAAUGUAUUUCUAUGAGUAGACACUGAUUGGCGCAGCCCUGCAUAUUGCUGCACAUGCACAAUAUCCUUCUAAUGUUUUCAUAUGGGAAAGCACUGGAUUGGCGGAGAUCGUCAUGUUUGAUGAUCUCAGCCAUAGAGGCAUGACCAGCAGUGGUGAGACAAGCAUGGCGUGGGAGAAAAGGUAAGUGUAAACACCUUUUCAGGGCAAUCGGAGCAAGUCUGGGACCUAAACAGCCAUACCAGGACUAUAGUAUCAGGAAUACAUGUUUGUGUAGUGUUCCUUUAAAGUUCUACCCCCCACAGACUGGCAGUAGAGAGCCCAGGCAUUCAUGAUUGAGAGGGGAAGGUGCCUAUCAAGUUGGUAAGUAUGUGAACAUAUGUCUAUGUAUAUAUUUAUUUAGGUAUAAGAGCAUCUAUGUAUGUUUGUGUUUGUUUAUGUCUGUGCAUGUGAGUGUAUGCAUUAGUGUGUAUCUAUAUAAGUGUGAGUUUGUCUUUGUGUGCAUGUCUACGUGUGAAUUCAUAGGUAUGUAUGGCUAGCUAUGUCUAUGUGAGAAUUCAUAGAUGUCUAUAGCUUUGGCUAGUUAUAUAUACGUAUGACCAGAGUCAGAUUGUCCAUUAGGGGAUUGUCCACAAGGGGCCUGUUUAAGGAAAUCCCCCUUUACUGCUAUUCUCCCAGAUUCCUGUGUGCUCCUCUGAUCUCUCUGAUGCUGGACACCAUGCCCAUGGGCCUUGUCUAAUUGUCUAUUUUUAUUUCUGGUGUCCCUUGAUUCUGAUGGUUUGUUUUGACUAUUCUGUGUAUGUGUAUCUGUGUGUGGGUGUGUGUUUGUCAGAAAAUGUGAGUGUGUCAAAAGGCGUGAUAAGUGGUAGAAUUGGGGAGGAGCCAGGGAUGUGGUUUUGGGUAGAGGCAAAAAGUUGGGUUUUGAAAAGGGGUCACCAAAUUAUACAUUAGUUUGGCAUCAGCCCUGGGUAUUUUUUGAUUCUAGCAGCUCCCCUAUCUGACUGUGAUUUGUAUCUGGCACAGUCUCCACCAGCAGGUUUUACUCAGAGUGUGACUUUACUGAAAUACCAGUUAUUAUAACCCUUGUAACAAAAAAAUAUAUGUGCUUGCGUCUAUAUGUAAAUUGCUAAAUAUGCAUGUAUGUAUGCGCAUUUGUGUGUGUGUGUGGUGGGUCCCCAGUUUCCUUUGGUCUUAGGCAGAAAAAUGUCUUGAGCCAGGUGCUGACUGUAAGUGGGUCAAAGCAGCCAAAAGGAAGGAUAGUCCCAACAUGGGCAGAUAUUUGCAAAUUUUCCCCAGUAAUGCAACUGAGGCAGAUCUAAAAGACAAUCCCACUGCCGCGACAGGUAUUGUACUAGAGGAAUAACAAGUUCUCAAAACUGGAGUGUCCCAAGUCACCAAGCACCCUUAUGUGAAGCAGAGAAGAGAGGGUGCUGUGAAAUGACAGAGUUCAUAACAGACUUACAGCAAAUAUCAUCAGUAAGAGCUGUAUGUAUGUACUAUCAGCCAGCAAUUUAACAAGCGGUGGUACAGGAAGUGCUGCAUCGUGGGAAAUUUAGGUCCAAAAAUAAAUGUUAUGCUAUGUCUUCUCCAUGGUACUGAAAUCAUAAUGCAAAUUUAAAGGAUCACUGUAGGGUCAGCCAGGAACACAAACUGUAUUCCUGACCCUAUAGUGUUUAACCCACCAUUUAGGUGGCUUUCUGCCCUCCCUUUGCCCUCCUAUAAAAGUUUAAAACUCACCUUAUUUCCAGUGCCGCGUGGGUCUGCCGGCACAGGCUCCGCCCCCUUUGUGACAUCAUCAAAAUUGCCAAUUUUUUGCCAAUCCUCGGCACGGGGGCGGGGCCAAAUGCAGUUUUAGCCAAUCAGGACCUCCUCAUAGAGAUGCAUUGAAUCAAUGCAUCUCUAUGAGGAAAAUUCAGUGUCUGCAUGCAGAGCGUGGGGGACGCUGAAUGGCAGGGCUGCUUACUGUGCAGCACUGAGCCAGGAAGCACCUCCAGUGGCCAUCUAAGGAGUGGCCACUUGGAGGUGUCCCUAGGGGCAAUGUAAACACUACAUUUACAUGAAAAUGCCUGAAAGGAGCUAUUAUACUCACCAGAACAACUACAUUAAGCUGUAGUCGUUCGGGUGAGUAUAGUGUCUAUUUUAUAACAAAAAAAAAGCAAAACAAAUAAAAGGAGGAAAUAAUGUCUGGCAAAUCAAAUGUAUGAAUCAGAAAACUAACAUAUAAAAUCCAGAAAACACCAAUAACAAUGAUAUAUAAUAAAAAAAUCUGCCAUAAUAUAUAUUUAUGAUAUCUCCCCUUUAAGAAAGUUUAGCUACCAGUCUUCCUCAUCUUUUCCUUCCCUCCCUAUGCGUUUCUCAUUUUCAUUCCGCAACUAACUCACAGCUUCUUCAAAGUGAGAUUCCGAAGAAAAAAAAGUUUAAUUAUUGGGUCCUUUACGCAAAGCAAACUGUUUCUGUUUAUCUGCUAAAAAAUGCUGUUUGGGCAUUUUUAUGCUGAUUUAUUCAUAUUUCCAAGGUCUUCUAUGUCAACAACUGCAGGCACGGGAUAAAGGAUUUUUUUUUAUCUCCUAUAAUUUUAUAGAGUCUUUCAUUUGUCCCAUGAAAGAGGCGUUCUAUAUUAUAUAUUAAUGCAAGAGGUUUAAAAAAAAAAAAAAAGAAAUCAAAUAUAGGAUUUCAGAAACCGUGGAAACAAACUUUAAAAACUAAAACGUGUGGGGACUUAAUAAGCUUCAUUUUCCCAAGUGGAAGGUUUCUAUAGGACGCUUUAUAUUAGUAUAAUCCUGCUGUCAUUUAUUUCAGAUACAAUGAUUUAUUUUUCAUUUCUUUAAGCAAAUAAAAAUAGCAGGCACUUAAUACACACAGAGGCUACUUCUAAAGUGCUAAAAAUGGAGCAUUGAGGAAUAACAUUCCAUAGGUCUCCAUGGCGACUGCUCCAUCUUUAUUAUUUCAUCUUAGAUUUGCUUUUAAAGGGACACUGUGUAUUUCAAGUUUAUCAUAGAGAUGGAUGAAUCUUUAUUAACUCACAUUUCUUUUAUGUGGGAAUUUCACUGAAAUUAUAAAGUAAUCUGAAAAUCUGGAGAUAUAAAUUAGCUAAAUUAAGGAUUGAAAAAAAAAAUCUUCUUCUCUUGUCUUGCCAUUUCCUGUGAUUAGUUGGACACAAGAACAACAGUUUAUCAACUUUUCAAGGCACAUCAUAAAAGUGUAGUUAUUGCCACACAUAAUGUCACAUCUGAAAGCUUAAAGGGACACUAUAGUCACCAGAACAACUACGGCUAAAUAUAGUUGUUCUGGUGUUUUUAGUCUCAGUCAGAGAAAAGGUAGUGUUUACAUUGCUCCCUAGGAACACUUCCAGUGGCCACUCCUCAGACGGCCACUGGAGGUGCUUUAUGGGUCAUUGCUGCACAGUGUGUCUCCAUACUCUGCAUGGUGUCACUGAACUAUCCCCAUAGGGAUGCAUUGAGUCAAUGCAUCUCUAUAAUGAGUAAUGAGAUGCUGAUUAGCCAAGCUGGUGUUUAACCCUGCUUCCACCCCGCCUCCUUGACAAUCUCAGCCAAUCCAAUGACUUUCCUAUGGGAAAAAAAUCAGGAGAUUUAAGAAUGUACAAACCUAUCUCUUAACUACAGUGUGGUAAAAUCCAGUAUUUUUACUCAGCCGGAUGAGAUAUUUAUCCUGUCUCUAAAAUCCAGGCUAUUUCCAGUUUUCCCCCUAAAUUGCACUGCUUACUUAAUUUCUGGGCCCCUGUCUAACUCCAAGAUCCCUAGGCAACUGCUUAAGGCGUCCUUAUGGUUAAUCCCACUCUGGUCUGCAUACUGUCCUGUCUUUUUGGGUGUCAUUAAAUAACAUCAGAGGGUGUUGUUGAGCAGAACAUGACGUUAUCACGGUCGUGUGAUAACCCAACACGCUGUAUGUAAACCCACAGAAAACCCAAAUACGUAUUACCGAACCUUAGAAUGGUCGGGUUUAACGUAAGAGAAAAGAGUAGUGAAAGAAUAGCCAAAAGUCAGGAUACCAGAAAUCAGGAGAGCGUAUAAGAGUUGCCGGUCAGGAUACCAGAAAUCAGGAGGUCAAAAGUCAAGCCGAGUCGGGAAACCAAAUAACAGGAAUGUCAGAAGUCAAGCCGGAUCAACACACAGGAAUAAAAAUAAUAAUGCAAGGAGAACUAAAUAGCACUAAGGGGACCACAAGGAACCACAAUAGGGCAAGAAACAAGACAAAAGGCGCCACUUUUAUAAGGGAGCAUCUUUUGCUUUAAGACCACGCCCCUAAAAAGUUCUGGUCUGGUAUUGAUGACGCGGGGUUGCGUCAUUGACGUCGGCACGUAUGCACCGCGUCAUGAAAAGGGACGUGUUUCCUGCGUCCGGCGUGGGACAUCACCGAACACAGCCAGAGUGGAGCCGGCGUUGGAUCCCACACCACGCAGGCGCGACGGAUCAAGGUAAAAGAUCGUGACAGACAUCUAAUUGGAACAUUUGUUGAUACAUCGGCUAAAGUAGGCGGAAUCAGUCAAAUUCUGGGGAUAAAAUUUUGCUUCCCAACAUCACAAACCACCAGUGGGCACUGACGUGCUUUCAGUGACUACUGUAAUCUGCUUCUCAGUGGUCUUCCGUUUUCCCAACUUUCCCCGUUACAUUCUAUAAUGAAUGCGGCUGCAAGGCUUAUCUUUCUCUCCGCCCACACUUUCCACACCUCCCCCGUCUGUCAGUCCCUACAUUGGCUUCCAGUUAGAUAUAGAACUAAAUUUAAGAUAUUGAUACUUGCUUACAAAUCUCUAUACUGUGCUUCUACCUCCUACCUAUCCUCAUUAAUACACAAAUAUGUUCCGUCUAGGCCCCUACGCUCUGCCGGAGACUUACGUCUAAUCUCUGUUCAUACUACUACCUCUGAUGCUCUCAUUAAAGACUUCUCCAGGCUGCACCAUUCUUAUGGAACAGCCUUCCCCUCUCUGUCAGACUUUAACCCACUCUCCACUCCUUCAAAAAAUCUUCGAAAACUCACUUCUUUAGGAAAGCAUAUCAAUUAAACUGUGAACAGCUUUCCCUCCCAACUCCUUGAUUCCUCCCCUGCAACUGCCAUCAAAACAAAACACUAAGCCCUCAGUGAAUACUAUCCUAACAACCUACUUUUCUACCCUACCCGUACCUUUUGUGUCACUAUUCCCCACUCCCUCUAGCGUGUAAGCUCAUUGAGCAGGGCCCUCAAUCCUUCUGUUCCUGUGUGCCCAACUCGUCUGGUUACAAAUACGUGUUUGUUAGUCCACCCAUUGUACAGCGCUACAGAAUUUAUAAAUAAUAAUAAUAAUAAUGAUGACAAUAUGGAGAGGCUAGAACCCCAGAUCUCUUAAAAAAUGGUUAUGACUGCAACUCUGCAAAAUUAGAUACAUUUAUAUCUCCCUUUUAAUAGUGAUCUGCUUGCAAAUUGCCAUAAUUUAGCAUUCUUACUAUUCUUAUCACAUCCCUAAGAAACAUAAAAAAUAUACAAUGUUUCAAUAACCUGUAUAUUUUAAUUGAAAAUCCCUAUUGUUUGUUAACUUGUUAGCACGUCCUUGAGUUGUGAAAUUUGUAAAGGUGCGAAAGAUGCUACCUCCUCCCGUGCAGGAAGUCUCCGAGGCAUAUUACAUCAUUUAAAGAGAUGUGUGCAGCUCCAAGCGUCUUCACAGUUAAGUUUUCCAUGUCUGAAACUUUUCAUGUCCACGCACUGCUCUAUAAAUAAAACAAAUUCUAGGUACAACACCGAGGAUGGCUAAGCAGACUCGGAAACUCAUAUACCUUUUAUUGUCCUGAUGUCUGCGGGUAAUAUUUUUUGCAUAAAAAAACAGGAUUGGUGCCAGAAGAAAUUUAAAGCUCCCCAAAUACACGAACAGAUGUUUGCUAUAAAAAAAACACACAAAAAAAAACAGUUUAGGAAAUGUUCAAAGACUAUCUCUGCAUUUAAGAAGUCUAUCAAGCAUGCUGACUGUAAAUGAGAAUGCUUGUUCAGGCAGUUACCUGGCUGAGCCCUGGGCAUGACAAUAACAAUCCCCUUGUUAACUUCCCGCAAUCGCUGGUUUAGUGAAUAAACACCAACCGUUUUAUUAUUAAUUAUCUUAUUUAACGUGAUAGUAUAUAUUUCAGUUUAUGCGCCUACAAAAAUAUAUUUAAAUACAUAUGAAUGCAUUCUUACAAAAUAUUCUCAAGUAUCUGUUGUUAUGUCUCCAUACCCAAAGCUUAAUGAUAUUAAUAAUAAUAGUAAUUGAUUUUGUCUUAUAGCGUUUAUUAAAGGGUUGCAAAAAUCUGUAUUUCUAGCAUUUGUUAAAGGAACACCCCAGAUACCAUAAUCACUACAGUCCACUGUAGUAGUUAUAGUGCCAGAAGCGCCCUAGAACUUUUCCCAUGUAGGUAGUCAUAGAAUGGUUUGACAGCUUACCUGGGAUUCACAGGUGCAGUUAACUGCCUCCUCCUCUGCAUUCCAAGAAGUUGCCUACUCUGACACAGCCGGGCAAAGCAGGGCGUAGCUUACUGGCUCAUUGGCCGACACUCUCAGGCAAUAAGCCUGCACCACACAACAAGUGCUAAUGGAAACGCCAUGAUCGCUGAAAUUACGGGCUUUAGAUGAGGAUGUGAUUGAUGGUGAAAGUAACACAUCCAAUUAGUUGUGACAGUGUCACCUUAAAGCAUCAUAUAUGGCGUUAACACAGCACAGUUUGGAGGUAGUGCUGUUGGUAAAGGGUUUCUAAUGCAGUGGGUGCAGAUUCAGUGCUACAAGUUUGGGGCUAAUUAUGCACCUGCUUAGAAAUAUGAUAUAAGGUAGGGUUAAUACAACAGAUGGACAUAGGGGAUGGUAUAGAGCCGGGUUAAGCAACCUUCGACACUCCAGAUGUUGUGGACUACAUUUCCCAUAAUACUCUAACAGCCAUAAUGCUGGCAAAGCAUCAGGUGAGAUGUAGUUCACAACAUCUGGAAUGCCGAAGGUUGCCUACCCCUGGUAGAGGGCAUGGUUGCGGGAGGAGGACAUAAAAUUUACUCUUGGGAUAAAGCAGUGCCCAUGGCACUAGGACAGUCUGUUCAGGACAUUUAUCAAAGUGUUUGGUUCUAAAAAGUGGCCUAAAGCACUAAAAGUGGGACAGUUAUCAUGGAAACCAGUGGAACCAACAGUUACAUUUCAUUUUUACAUUUUAGAACCACUUUUCGAAAUAGAAUACUUACUUGAUAAAUCUCCCCCUAUGAGUCUCCAAAGUACUUUUAGAACUUCAGGUUUCCAGAAUAACUUGAUGAUUUCUUCUCCCGCUCUCCCGAAUCCUAUUCUAAAACUUUCCCAGACCCAAAACGACCCCUUUGCCUUUAAAUGUGUUAGCAUUUGAAGGACUGAAAUGUAACAGUGUCUUGAGAUAUCUUUGUGCAAAUUCAUGUUCCUCCCACAGAACACCAAUAGCAAAUAGUAGGCCGGUAAGGUUACAGAGUGCCAAACAUGCUGUGAGUUUGUCAUUGAUAUACAAAGAUUGGUUGUCUUUAAUUAAAUGGGGGAAAUUACGCUUAGAAUCAUAAGGAAUAACAGGCCGACUUAGAACCAAAGUUAUAAAAGUGGAGCAAUCAACGGAAACAUUCCAUUGAAUUAACCAGCACCUGUUUAUUAAAAUGUACUUUGCUUCGAACAUAAGCUGCAACAUUCUAAAAAUGACUUCACAUCUGCUGAACUAUCUCUAUCUCUAUUAUAGACAAAGAAUCACAGUCUCUUCCUAAAUACAAUUUUCUUUUCAGUAGGGUAUGAUUAUGUUAAGUGAAGGUGUCGCGGGUGCUGACCUACAAAUUAGGCAUUUAUCGAAUGGCAACAGGAGAUCACUGGUUCUUUUUCAGCAGCGGAGGACGAUGUGGUGUCAUAUGACAUUUGGCUUGUCACUGUAGCUAAAGCUCACUUACUCGACAUUUAGCAUAGUAGAUUGGCAAUAUGCAGAGGUCUUGGCACAGCAGGGCAUCUUCCUUUUCCUACAAGGCUGAGUGAAAUUAGAGAUUGGUACGGAGCACAAAAACUAUAAAAGGCCAGAUGGAAAAGGCCAGUAAGGUCAAAUAGCUCUUUUGAAACAUGUAAGAAAACUGCGUAGUUGAAUGGCAGCCAAGUUAAUGUUUGACAGAAGUGCUCAGUCAGGUGUGGGUAAUAAUUAUAUUGAAUUAAAGGCUUUUUUUUCUUCCUGAUCUGUCAAAAUAUAUUGGAGCCUAAAAUGAGUCUGUUACCAGUUCAUUCAGUAUUCCUCUGAGUUUAUAAAGCCGUGACUGCUAACCCUGGCACUUCAGAUGUUGCGAAAUACAUUUCCCAUGAUACCACUCUCAUGAAUAAUUCAUUGAAAGUUGCAGUGCAACAGUGUUUCGGGGAUCUUGUUACAAUUUAUGGAAAACAAUUGCUUAUCUUCAUUCUUGUUAACGGAAUAAUUAAAAAAAAACGUUGAUCUUUCAGACAUAUAACUUUGCCUACUUAUUUACUACGUCCGUAUAGAUUGCUCUUUUUCCUUAAAAAAAUAAAAAGCAAAAUAAAAAUGGUAAUAUUGUUCUUUCAGUUACAUGCAGACCCAUUGUCUAUGAUCCUCAACCAUGAUAACCAACCCUUGUCUUGUGCCAGACAUACCAACAAGUUGGCGGAGGGGUGUGGGGGGAUUAUCUGAGCGACAAGGUGGGUGCUUUACCUAGAAGAUUAAGGGCCCCCAACCAAGAUUGACAUUGAAGAUAAAAUAUGGUGUAUAUUCAAUAUAAAAAAACUACUAUUUCAGAAAGGUUUGAACACUUUGGCUCGAAACAUUUGUCCAUUUGUCCAUCCAGAUUCUUGUAGCAUUUUGAGCGUGCAUCACGAGUGGAGAACACAGACUAACUUUGCUUCAAAUGUUGAAUACUAUUUCAAACACUUGUCCACACCCCAAAAAAUGUUCUUCCUUCCCUCCUUUAAUUUACUUUCCCUUUGUAGUUCACGUCCAUCCGUUCUACUUCAACUGUUAUAUUGUUAAACUGAUUGUUCUGAUUCUUAGUCCUAUCUGGGAUUUACCUUGACCGUUUGAAAAUUAUAUUAUUGUUUGCCUAUUUCUAUUUGUUCCUGUAUUUUAAUAUUAAAAAUAUAUAUUUUUUAAAAUACAUAAGUUUAAAAAAAAAAGCAUUUUACAGGAUGUCAAAUAUUAAAAAAAUAAAAAGGGACAUAUAAUGUGUGUUAGGGUAUUUGUAAGGAACCUGAUGGCGUUUUGGAAAUGUAUAUUCCUACAAAUACCACCAAAAAGUUGUCUGGCAUAGAAUCUGUUCAACCUUUGGCUGUCGCAGGUUCAAAUCCUGGAAGGAUUAACUCAGCCCUUCAUCCUUCCAAGUUAGAUAAUAUGAGUAGCAUUAAAUUGGGUACCAGUACAUCCACUGGAUGUUGGGCAAAAGUAACGUCCUCAGCACAUACUUGGAAACCAGAGUAAUCUGAAUGUCCUGGUUAAAUACUUUUGUUUUUAUUAUUAUUAACCUGAUACACAGGGACGAUAUGAAGCCAGAUGGAGAUCUGGCUAGAAUUUUUUAUUUGCACUGCGGUAGGUUGAGAGGGAGAUUGCGAAGGUCUAAUCUAAAACCCAUAAAUAUUAUUUUUUUAUCCCAACAUGUUUAAUGAGUUUCUUCGGGUUACAUAAUUUGAUAUCUUUAUAGAGUUGAAUUUUAUAAUUUUUUUUCAUAACCUUAACCAAGAUUUUCACAAUCGCUGUAUUAACAUGAUUUCGCUUUACAAUGGUUAAACAUUUCAAUUAUAUAUAAUGUCAAUAUUGUAUGUUUUUCUCUUUACUAAUAUUCAGGUUAAGAAUUUAGCUUGUGAGAUGAGACGGACUUUGUACAGUACGGUCUGCACCCAGUUCUGUCCCUCUCCAUGUGUGUUUUCAUGGGUCAUUAAUGGAAUCUUACACUAGCGGUAAAAUAUAUAAAUAUGCUACGAGAAAUAAUGUAAAGUUUACUCAACCUUUCCCCAGCUGCAGGGGAUAGCAUAGCACACAGAGGGCAGAAAAAGAGUCGGUUUCUGAUAUAAGCACUAAGUCUUACUAUCUGACAUUUUCUACCUAGGCAGAAUGGAUUGGUACUCUUGUUAAUGUAACAGAUUUCACAGCACUAAUGUAAAUUUUCUUAUUAUCUCUGUAAAGCAGGCACAGAGUGGAAAGAAUUUAAUGACUGUUGCAUCAUUAGCCUUUCUCCAUACGCUUAAAAUGAUUGACAGGGAAAUGACCCCAAGCAAAAUUUGUUAUUGUCACUACUAUUCUUUACAGGUGUAGAGUUUUAUGAAGUACAAACAGACAAGGACCAAAAAUGAACUUUUUACCUUUUUCCAUUCCCGGCCCAUUGAUGGACAACAAUAUUUGAUCCAACCAGAUGGAUAUCCUGUAUAUUGACCAGAGCCUCCUUGGAAAUUUCGUACAAGCAGGAAAGCCAACCGUGGUUUAAACUCUAACAAGUGGCCACGUAUAAGCCAGCUUGGCCUUGAGAUGCCACUGUGGGCAGCAAGGAGAAGAGAAGAAGCUUAAUCUUCUGUCAAUCGUCAUUUGUAAAGCAGGAGAACCGUCAAUGUACAAAAAUAACUCUCUUUACAUCCUUUCUAAUCGCACAAAAUUGUACUUCAUCUGUAAAUCUCAAAAUGUAGUAAAAAACAACUUUAAUAUGAAUGAUAUAUAUUAACACAAAGUUCCUAGCUGGUUGUACAGAUAACAUUUUCCAAUUGUUUUCUGUCAAACUAAAAUAGACGAACAGACAGAUGAUAACGUUGUUAGCAUGAAUGUCCAGAGUCAUUGUUUGUGGUCAGUAAAACUCUUUUUUUUAAAUUUAGGUUGUCUGGAAUACAAAAAUAUUCCUACAAAAAUGUAUGUUAGUCUUUUGCAAUAUGUUUAGGUAACAUAUUUUUUUUUUUUUUUGAAGGCUCGUCGAGAAUAAAAAAUGUGUCAGAGACACUUUCGCUUUCUUCCAGAUCGAUCUGUGGGCCCAUGUUGAUAACAGAUAAUUGUACGUGUAAAACUGGACACAUUGCAUUGAGUUUGACCUCCUGCCAAAGGUGGACGUAAAUUUGACGGCAUUUCGACCGAUUAUAGAACAAAUUGGUUGUGUGUAAUAAGAAGAGCAACAAAUAAAGGACUGUCGA